UACGGAGGGUGCAAGCGUUGUUCGGAAUUACUGGGCGUAAAGAGCGUGUAGGCGGCUGACCAAGUCCGGUGUGAAAGCCCGGGGCUUACCCCCGGAAGUGCGCUGGAAACUGGUCGGCUAGAGUAUGGGAGAGGGAAGUGGAAUUCCUGGUGUAGCGGUGAAAUGCGUAGAUAUCAGGAGGAACACCGGCGGCGAAGGCGGCUUCCUGGACCAAUACUGACGCUGAGACGCGAAAGCGGGGGGAGCAAUCAGG
rnacentral:rRNA from 1 species